GACAAAAAUGAAAAUAAAAUAAGUUUCGGUUUCGAUUCACCUGAGCUCCUCCAUUCCAGCGAACGUGAACGGUGUGCAGAAUUUUAUACUGAUCUUCUCUACAAAGAGUCAUAUAUUUGUUCACAUAAGGUCAACACGCCCAUUCCUGAAGGAAGGUACAACGCUCUUUGCGAUAUUUUGCAGUCAGGCGAAUAGGAAUUGAUUUCAGACCAUCUUCUCUAAAGAUACCGUCGUACCAGCAUACCACCAUACCAGCAUACCAUCGUACCGCCCUACCAGGAUACCACUGUACUAGGAUACCACUAUAACAACAUUCCAACGUACCAGGACACCACCGACAUGAAGAACGAAUAUCUAGUGAUUCUUACCAUGCUAAAGUUAAUAUCAAUGGUGGUGUUUAAAACGUGCUCUCCGAAUGACAGUGAAUUCGUCGACUUGGUGCUGUUCGGGGUCGGUCUGUCCUCUGCGGGAGAUUUGUGCAUAAUGGGGAUUACUACCCUGCUGGGAUGCUCAUUCUUAUUGUUGCUCGUGUGAUUUACUGCGUGGCAUUUAGCCGGAAGUGGCACUCUCCUUGUCUAGCUGUACUGCCGUUCUUACUAUGUUGUCUGUUGUUGGGUGUCGCUCAGUUUAAAUUUAAAGAAGUCAUGUUCAUUAUUCAUGUGAUCGUGGCCACAAUCUUUUCAUGCCUAACGUUUGCAGCAGCACGAGACACAAGUUCCGUCUGGAACUGUAGUGGCAGCUUAAUGUUAAUGGUAGCGAAUGUUGUAAAUGCUGUGUCCCACGACUUUGGUAUACCACAUGUUAAUAUAGUCUCGGAGAUUGUUUCCUUGACUGGCCACGGUGCUGUAAUGGUAUCUACUUUUGUUGACGGUCACGGCGCGCCGACCUUGCCAUGGUAACACGGGGCGGAUCUGAUGGGAGAGAAAUGAUCUGGACUGUUGUGAUACCUAAUGUCACGUGUUCACAUUAACCGUUAAUGUUGGAUUCCUUGUACCGUUGGUCUUGUGUUACAAAUGUUUACCGUUAGAAUGUUAUUGCUGCAUGCAUUAACUAUUGUGUUGCCGGGAGUAUUUACUGUUAUAUGGUGUUAGAAUGUUAAGACAACGUUAGAAUUGUGUAACUGUGCAUAUCAACAGACGCAAUUCGACUAUGCCUGAACAUCUUCCUUAUGCUUAAAGUACCGUUGUGACUUAUUGAUACUAAAGGUCGAUGUAGUA